GGGAACGUACCCUUCGGUUCGGAAUAACUCAGGGAAACUUGAGCUAAUACCGGAUACGCCCUUUUGGGGAAAGGUUUACUGCCGAAGGAUCGGCCCGCGUCUGAUUAGCUUGUUGGUGGGGUAACGGCCUACCAAGGCGACGAUCAGUAGCUGGUCUGAGAGGAUGAUCAGCCACACUGGGACUGAGACACAGCCCAGACUCCUACGGGAGGCAGCAGUGGGGAAUAUUGGACAAUGGGCGCAAGCCUGAUCCAGCCAUGCCGCGUGAGUGAUGAAGGCCUUAGGGUUGUAAAGCUCUUUUGUCCGGGACGAUAAUGACGGUACCGGAAGAAUAAGCCCCGGCUAACUUCGUGCCAGCAGCCGCGGUAAUACGAAGGGGGCUAGCGUUGCUCGGAAUCACUGGGCGUAAAGGGCGCGUAGGCGGCCGAUUAAGUCGGGGGUGAAAGCCUGUGGCUCAACCACAGAAUUGCCUUCGAUACUGGUUGGCUUGAGACCGGAAGAGGACAGCGGAACUGCGAGU
rnacentral:rRNA from 1 species